AAGAGCGAGUGCUUUGUGUUUGCAUCUAGUAGUCGGCUUCCAUAAAGAGUUCUACUCGAGCUUGCUUCUAAAAAGACUGUCUAUCCGGGAAAGUGUGAAUGUGUGCAAUUUCAUUAAUGGGCCAAUUAAAGUGUCGAUGAAUAUAGUCGAGUAAAAAAGAACUGCGUGUCAGAUGACGGGCCAAGAAGCCGGAUUAGAGGUGCAGGGUGAAUUGUCUUGUGACUGUUCUGAAUUGUCGUGAAUACGAAUCUGAUUUAACGCGGUCUGGUGGCGAUGACUAUGGGGUCAGCGUGCUUGAACUAGAUAUAUAAUCGAUGUUUAUACAAGCCUACGAGAGUCAUGCUGGUCGAGUCUAUCGAAAAGAUAUACGGCGCGAUAAACACGUUAUACCUCGACAAGAUUUACCUACAACUAAUUAAAAAUGUUUAGACUACCGUAAGGACUGUUAUUAUUCCCAUUGACUAAACUGCAAAACAAACACGGACUCUCAAAGACUAUAUCUCGCCCCCAAUACACAAUAAUUGUAAACACUAUUCUUUGUGUCGGUUGAGACACUAGUAGUGCUGUUCAAAGAGGAGCAGAUCUUCUUACAAGUAACGAUCCGUAUCUGAUCUGCAGAAACAGCAAUCAUGGGGCAAUAGGAAAAUUUUAAUAAAACAUGUCACUAGCCCGGAAGCCAUCUCGUGUGCAGAUAUCUGUGGAAGUAUUACAAGUGUCGCAAGCGCGGCAGUCCGGCAACAAGCAAAGGAUCAAUUCUCCAUCGGUAUCUAGCAUGGCAUCUCAGCAAGAGAAAAUACAAUGGAGAGAAAAUACAAUUGCGUCCCAUUUUUUCGCGUCAUUCCGCUGGGAACUCUGUCUCACAUCAGAGGUGAAAGGCGUUUUGGAAUAUAUGGGCAGACAUUUUCCUUUUUUCAAUCCCAUUUUAUGUGCGUGGUACAAUUCCGUCACCGAGAAGCAUGUUGUAUCAGCGCCCUCGUCAUAUUACGUCUAAUUUCGGGAUAUCAAGGCACUUAAACUUACUAACGAAAGGUUAAGAUUUAUUACAAAAAUCAAACGCUGACAACCUCACUAAGAACUAAUGAAAGACAGCGAGCGCGCAAAAUCACACUCGACUGCAAAAAAAAACUGGCGGCGUGAUUUUCUUCUUGACGAUGGUGUCUGAUGCUGGGUUAAGUCCAGUCGUGCUUGAAGGGUGAAACGCAAGUGGUGCUGGAUUAACAACAAACAUCCAUGAUCUAGGCUGAUCUGGGUUCAAAUCAGAGCCUUUUCGGAAAUGUGAUUAUUUUUUAUCAGCGAUACGAGCCGACCUGGGUUGGCUGUUUAUAUUUAGCGUUUAUGAAAACCCGCCUUUCUCGAAUGUUCGCCGAGAUGUGUGGGCUACAACAACGGUUAAAUAUCCAUCUAAACUACAAUUUGCGGAAAUAUAGUGAAGCGUUAAACGUGUAAUCAUUAGCUAGUUAAACGAAAAGUUUACGUGAAUAACGGCUUAACAUAAACAAGCUAUCUUAUCGCUAGCUUACUAGCGAUUUGGAACACAUGUGGCCUCUGUAGCAAAGUGGGCACUAAAUUAAUUAACUAAAACACUUUUUGCCCGCCCAGAUAAAAUUCAUAAGGUUACUUCAUAAAAUGCCUUUAAUGGUUAUUGUGUUUUUCAUAGAUAAACAGAGAAUUAAAGAAAUAAUUGCAGUCAUCAGUGUGAAGUGGAGGGAUGGAUCCAAGUUCACCUAUGGUCCAUAUAGAACACAGCAAACCCCAAAAGACGCUCUCCGAUUAAAGAACAAAUUAAGCUCGAAACUGGCAGGGCGAACAGGGAAUAGCAGUUAUUUGAGAUCUAUAAACAAAGUCUAAAGAUCCCA